UGGGGAAUAUUGCACAAUGGGCGAAAGCCUGAUGCAGCGACGCCGCGUGAGGGAUGACGGCCUUCGGGUUGUAAACCUCUUUCAGCAGGGACGAAGCGCAAGUGACGGUACCUGCAGAAGAAGCACCGGCUAACUACGUGCCAGCAGCCGCGGUAAUACGUAGGGUGCAAGCGUUGUCCGGAAUUACUGGGCGUAAAGAGUUCGUAGGCGGUUCGUCGCGUCGUUUGUGAAAACCAGCAGCUCAACUGCUGGCUUGCAGGCGAUACGGGCAGACUUGAGUACUGCAGGGGAGACUGGAAUUCCUGGUGUAGCGGUGAAAUGCGCAGAUAUCAGGAGGAACACCGGUGGCGAAGGCGGGUCUCUGGGCAGUAACUGACGCUGAGGAACGAAAGCGUGGGUAGCGAACAGG
rnacentral:rRNA from 1 species